rnacentral:rRNA from 1 species
UACGUAGGGUGCAAGCGUUAAUCGGAAUUACUGGGCGUAAAGCGUGCGCAGGCGGUUUUGUAAGCCAGAUGUGAAAGCCCCGGGCUCAACCUGGGAACUGCGUUUGAUACUGCAUUGCUAGAGAAUGAUAGAGGUGGGUGGAACUGAUGGUGGAGCGGUGAAAUGCGUUGAUAUCAUCAGGAACACCAGUGGCGAAGGCGACCCACUGGGUCAUUUCUGACGCUGAGGUACGAAAGCUAGGGUAGCGAACGGGAUUAGAAACCCUGGUAGU